GUGAAGCAGCGUGCUUCUUCGACUUUUUCUUGGUUGGAGUCGGUGCAGGAACCUCGGCGGUUGGCGCAGCCACUGGAGCUGAAGGAGCAGUUUCCGGAGGAGAGCUUGUUGGUGGAGUAACUGGUGCUGGUGAUGGAGGAGAUUGGGCCGGAGAUUUUGCUGGAGUUUUUGCUGGAGGAGAGCUCACUGGAACUGCAACAGGUGGUGAACUAAUAGGAGCGGCGGCAAGUGGUGGUGUAGCUACCGGAGCCGCAGCCGGAGCUGGCACCUUCUGUUUGGUCGGAGAAGCUGCUGGUGUCUUCGCUGGUGGUGAAGACACUGGAACUGCAACAGGAGCAGGCGAUUUAGAUUUUGCUGGUGCUUUAGCAGGUGCAGUUACAGGCGCUGCAGGAGCCAACGGAGUAGCAGUCGGUGCUGCACCUGGAGCUUGGCCGCCGACGCCGGCGACAAUGAUGCACAUUAAUGCAACAGAAAAAACGCUUUUGCGAUCCAUCUUGGCAGAGGAGAGA
rnacentral:lncRNA from 1 species